rnacentral:rRNA from 1 species
UAGCGGCGGACGGGUUAGUAACGCGUGGGAACGUACCCUUUUCUACGGAAUAGCCUCGGGAAACUGAGAGUAAUACCGUAUACGCCCUUUGGGGGAAAGAUUUAUCGGAGAAGGAUCGGCCCGCGUUAGAUUAGAUAGUUGGUGGGGUAAUGGCCUACCAAGUCUACGAUCUAUAGCUGGUUUGAGAGGAUGAUCAGCAACACUGGGACUGAGACACGGCCCAGACUCCUACGGGAGGCAGCAGUGGGGAAUCUUAGACAAUGGGCGCAAGCCUGAUCUAGCCAUGCCGCGUGAGUGAUGAAGGCCUUAGGGUCGUAAAGCUCUUUCGCCUGUGAAGAUAAUGACUGUAGCAGGUAAAGAAACCCCGGCUAACUCCGUGCCAGCAGCCGCGGUAAUACGGAGGGGGUUAGCGUUGUUCGGAAUUACUGGGCGUAAAGCGCGCGUAGGCGGACAUUUAAGUCAGAGGUGAAAUCCCAGGGCUCAACCCUGGAACUGCCUUUGAUACUGGGUGUCUUGAGUUCGAGAGAGGUGAGUGGAAUUCCGAGUGUAGAGGUGAAAUUCGUAGAUAUUCGGAGGAACACCAGUGGCGAAGGCGGCUCACUGGCUCGAUACUGACGCUGAGGUGCGAAAGUGAGGGGAGCAAACAGGAUUAGGUACCCUGGUAGUCCACACCGUAAACGAUGAAUGCCAGUCGUCGGGC